rnacentral:rRNA from 1 species
AUACGGAGGGUGCAAGCGUUACUCGGAAUCACUGGGCGUAAAGCGCGCGCAGGCGGCUAUCUAAGUUGGAUGUGAAAGCCUACGGCUCAACCGUAGAACUGCAUCCAAAACUAUUUAGCUAGAGAGUGGGAGAGGAAGAUGGAAUUAGUUGUGUAGGGGUAAAAUCCGUAGAGAUAACUAGGAAUACCAAAAGCGAAGGCAAUCUUCUGGAACACUACUGACGCUGAGGCGCGAAAGCGUGGGGAGCAAACGGGAUUAGAAACCCUAGUAGUCC